rnacentral:rRNA from 1 species
CACGUAGGCACCAAGCGUUGUCCGGAUUUAUUGGGCGUAAAGAGCUCGUAGGCGGUUUGUCGCGUCUGCUGUGAAAACUCGGGGCUCAACUCCGAGCUUGCAGUGGGUACGGGCAGACUAGAGUGCGGUAGGGGAGACUGGAAUUCCUGGUGUAGCGGUGGAAUGCGCAGAUAUCAGGAGGAACACCGGUGGCGAAGGCGGGUCUCUGGGCCGUAACUGACGCUGAGGAGCGAAAGCAUGGGGAGCAACAGG